UACAGAGGGUGCAAGCGUUAAUCGGAAUUACUGGGCGUAAAGCGCGCGUAGGUGGUUCGUUAAGUUGGAUGUGAAAUCCCCGGGCUCAACCUGGGAACUGCAUUCAAAACUGUCGAGCUAGAGUAUGGUAGAGGGUGGUGGAAUUUCCUGUGUAGCGGUGAAAUGCGUAGAUAUAGGAAGGAACACCAGUGGCGAAGGCGGCUCACUGGCCCGAUACUGACGCUGAGGCGCGACAGCGUGGGGAGCAAACAGG
rnacentral:rRNA from 1 species